rnacentral:pre_miRNA from 1 species
UGGCACAGCAGCUGGUGCCUCGGCCCGGGGACUGCUGGCCAGG